rnacentral:rRNA from 1 species
UACGUAGGGGGCAAGCGUUGUCCGGAUUUAUUGGGCGUAAAGAGCGUGUAGGCGGCCUGAAAGGUCAGCUGUGAAAACUCGAGGCUCAACCUCGAGACGUCGGUUGAAACCAUCUGGCUAGAGUCCGGAAGAGGAGUGUGGAAUUCCCGGUGUAGCGGUGAAAUGCGCAGAUAUCCGGAAGAACACCGGUGGCGAAGGCGGUCCGCUGGGGUGUUGCUGACGCUGAGGCGCGACAGCGUGGGGAGCAAACAGG